rnacentral:rRNA from 1 species
AGUCGAACGAUGAAGCUUCUAGCUUGCUAGAAGUGGAUUAGUGGCGCACGGGUGAGUAAGGUAUAGUUAAUCUGCCCUACACUGGGGGACAACACUUAGAAAUGAGUGCUAAUACCCCAUACUCCUAUUUAACAUAAGUUGAAUAGGGAAAGUUUUUCGGUGUAGGAUGAGACUAUAUAGUAUCAGCUAGUUGGUAAGGUAAUGGCUUACCAAGGCUAUGACGCUUAACUGGUCUGAGAGGAUGAUCAGUCACACUGGAACUGAGACACGGUCCAGACUCCUACGGGAGGCAGCAGUAGGGAAUAUUGCGCAAUGGGGGAAACCCUGACGCAGCAACGCCGCGUGGAGGAUGACACUUUUCGGAGCGUAAACUCCUUUUCUUAGGGAAGAAUUCUGACGGUACCUAAGGAAUAAGCACCGGCUAACUCCGUGCCAGCAGCCGCGGUAAUACGGAGGGUGCAAGCGUUACUCGGAAUCACUGGGCGUAAAGGGCGCGUAGGCGGAUUAUCAAGUCUCUUGUGAAAUCUAAUGGCUUAACCAUUAAACUGCUUGGGAAACUGGUAAUCUAGAGUGAGGGAGAGGCAGAUGGAAUUGGUGGUGUAGGGGUAAAAUCCGUAGAUAUCACCAAGAAUACCCAUUGCGAAGGCGAUCUGCUGGAACUUAACUGACGCUAAGGCGCGAAAGCGUGGGGAGCAAACAGGAUUAGAUACCCUGGUAGUCCACGCCCUAAACGAUGUAUGCUAGUUGUUGGGGUGCUAGUCAUCUCAGUAAUGCAGCUAACGCAUUAAGCAUACCGCCUGGGGAGUACGGUCGCAAGAUUAAAACUCAAAGGAAUAGACGGGGACCCGCACAAGCGGUGGAGCAUGUGGUUUAAUUCGAAGAUACGCGAAGAACCUUACCUGGGCUUGAUAUCCUAAGAACCUUAUAGAGAUAUGAGGGUGCUAGCUUGCUAGAACUUAGAGACAGGUGCUGCACGGCUGUCGUCAGCUCGUGUCGUGAGAUGUUGGGUUAAGUCCCGCAACGAGCGCAACCCACGUAUUUAGUUGCUAACGGUUCGGCCGAGCACUCUAAAUAGACUGCCUUCGUAAGGAGGAGGAAGGUGUGGACGACGUCAAGUCAUCAUGGCCCUUAUGCCCAGGGCGACACACGUGCUACAAUGGCAUAUACAAUGAGACGCAAUACCGCGAGGUGGAGCAAAUCUAUAAAAUAUGUCCCAGUUCGGAUUGUUCUCUGCAACUCGAGAGCAUGAAGCCGGAAUCGCUAGUAAUCGUAGAUCAGCCAUGCUACGGUGAAUACGUUCCCGGGUCUUGUACUCACCGCCCGUCACACCAUGGGAGUUGAUUUCACUCGAAGCGAGGAUGCUAAAAUAGCUACU